rnacentral:misc_RNA from 1 species
GAUGAAGAACGUAGCGAAAUGCGAUACUUGGUGUGAAUUGCAGAAUCCCGUGAACCAUCGAGUCUUUGAACGCAAGUUGCGCCCGAAGCCAUUAGGCCGAGGGCACGCCUGCCUGGGCGUCACACGUCGUUGCCCCCCCAUCUACUCCUUCGGGAUUGCGGGGGGCGGAUGAUGGCCUCCCGUGCGCCUCGCCGCGCGGUUGGCAUAAAUGCCAAGUCCUCGGCGACGCACGCCACGACAAUCGGUGGUUGCGAAACCUCGGUUGCCCGUCGUGUGCGGUCGUCGCGCAUCGAGGGCUCGAAAAAAUUGCCGGGUUCCGGCUCGGCUUUCAACGCGACCCCAGGUCAGGCGGGGUUACCCGCUGAAUUUAAGCAUAUCAAUAAGCGGAGGG